GAGGGACCUUUAGCAGAGGACAUUGAAGAUGUCAGUAUGCUAAGAGAUGAUGGGUCAGACGAUGAGGUCAGCAUGUCAUCCACGCAAGAAUGUACCUCCACAUCACAAAGUCAAAACCGGGGAGUGUCUGCAACCGAUGUCAGUAUGCCAAGAGAAGAGGGGUCAGAAGAUGAGGUCAGCAUGUCAUCCCUGCAAGAAUGUCCCUCC